UUCCGUCUCGAAAACAAGAAGAUUUCUUCCCAUGAGAAUGAUUGAUACCACUGAGUACGCUUCUCCAACUUUUCUCAAUGAUGAAUUUGAAUUUGGAAAUUUGGCUAGUUUUAAGCACUCGCGUUUUUUGCCUCCCUCUUUUCGAGUCACUUGUUGGAGUCUGACAACGUACCCCCCAUUUGGAUGCAGUUCUAAUCUAUCGACAUGGGAUGGUAGGAAUUAUCCUGUGCCAAGAUCUUGAUGCUAGACAUGUUGAGGAAUCCAUACACACGGACAAUACUUGAGUAUGGGUCAAACUAGGGAUACUUGAAGUUGUAAGGAUAUCUGAAGGAUAUGAAUGCUUAACUAUUGUAACUGGAUGGACUCGGCUAGCGAUUCCCAUCAAGAACACAAAUACAACUUUAUGGACUAGAAGAAAAUGCAUAAGACGGUCUGGCUUACAAAUUGUAUAAAAAGCAUAUUUAUGUAUUCAUAGAGGAUUAUAUUGGGUUAAAAAAGUCUUCAUAUACAUAAUAAAAGAGAUUUCACAUUUUGGUUUUUGUUUCAUCCGUUAAAGGAGUGCACUUUCAAGCGAGUAGCCUGCUAAACCGAACUUCCGCAACCGGGCCAUGGGAGCCCGGAACCGCCUAGGAAGGUAUCACUGUUUAUUCAAUCAGAUCGUGCUUAGGAAUCGGGCGGCCCUGGAGGACAGUGGACCAUGGAGGUCAAGAAGGAUCGGAAGGGCAGGCUGUCGCGCACAUAUAGUAUAACCUAAAUAAAUUGCUCGCUUUGAGACUACACAGAUAAGGGUAAGGUAAACAGACAAAAA
rnacentral:sRNA from 1 species